rnacentral:rRNA from 1 species
UACCCGCAAGGCGUUCUGUUAAGUCAGAUAANCGAACGAGACCCUCAUCCCUAUUNGCUAACCNGAUCUCCGGAUCAGNCGCACUAUAGGGAGACCGCUGGCGCGAAGUCAGAGGAAGGCGAGGGCAACGGUAGGUCAGUAUGCUCCGAAUGCUAUGGGCUACACGCGCAAUACAAAGGACGGGACAAUGGGCUGCAACUCCGAGAGGAACGACGCUAUCCCGAAACCCGUUCGUAGUUNGGAUUGAGGGCUGUAACUCGCCCUCAUGAAGCUGGAUUAGGUAGUAAUCGCGUCAUNAAAAAGGCGCGGUGAAUAUGCCCNUGCUCCUUGCACACUCCUCCCGUCAAACC